rnacentral:miRNA from 1 species
AUUGGCACCUCUUAGAGUGAA